GAUGAACGCUAGCGGCAGGCUUAACACAUGCAAGUCGAGGGGUAGAGGAAGCUUGCUUCCUUGAGACCGGCGCACGGGUGCGUAACGCGUAUACAAUCUACCUUUUACAGAGGGAUAGCCCCAGAGAAAUUUGGAUUAAUACCUCAUAGUAUUUUCGGAUCGCAUGAUUUGAUUAUUAAAGUUCCAACGGUAAAGAUGAGUAUGCGUCCAUUAGCUAGUUGGUAAGGUAACGGCUUACCAAGGCUACGAUGGGUAGGGGUCCUGAGAGGGAGAUCCCCCCACACUGGUACUGAGACACGGACCAGACUCCUACGGGAGGCAGCAGUGAGGAAUAUUGGACAAUGGGGCGUCAAGCCUGAUCCAGCCAUGCCGCGUGCAGGA
rnacentral:rRNA from 1 species